AUACUGAUAUGAAAUGAUUUAUUUCCGGAAAACGCUCUUGUAAGCGUUUGCAGGAAUAGUUCUGGUUACUAGAGGUGUAGUCUAUUUUAGGCACCUAUGCAUAGGGAGGAGUGAACGAGUGAACAAGUUGGUGGGGAUGAAAAUAAAAAGGGAAGUGGUAGCUGCCAGGAACAGGGGCCUCAUUCAUCAGACUCAGAAGCCUCAAGGAUGAGAAGAGAAAUUCCGGGGUGGCCGGUUACUCAGCAAGAAAACGAACACUGGCUUGCUGGCUCAGCACUUAACCUGAGAUGAGGAUAUCCUAACAGCCCUUUUUCUCUAAGGGGUUCCUGGUUCCCUUCACGCCCCCACCCCCAACCUCAGCUCUGUCUGGGUGGAACGAAUUUCUGCUAAUGAACUAAAGAAACAGGUCCCUUAAUCUUAUCAUGGAGCUGACCCAGAGACUGGCACAGAUAUCCAAAGUAUCAUAAUUGGCAGGUCAGAAUUAAAACUACAUCAUGGUGACUUUAUAGCUGAGGCAAAGUUGAGCUCAAGUGUUACUUUCCCAGUAAGUAAAUCAUAAUGAAGUAUCACGCUGGUGACUAAUUUAACUGACGUUGUCCAGGAAAUUGCUAUUGUCCAGGAAGAAAAGAGCUGAGCUGAGUGUCGGCCACUGGGCUUCUGGCACCAUCCUGCACAAGAAAUUGAUAAGUUCUGCUGUGUUAUUUCCUAGCUUGGUGGUCUCAGUUGCAUCCCAGCUAACUUUAAACUGACAGGCCCACCUCCAAUUUAUUAAUUCCUUGGUCUUCAGAAUAUAUCAUCUCAUGUUUACUCAAUUAUUUAUUGAACAAUCACUACGUGUCAGUGUUGGAAUAUAUGAAUGAAAAAUCAAAUAAAAUUUUUUUUAUUUUGUGGA